UACGUAGGGUGCAAGCGUUAAUCGGAAUUACUGGGCGUAAAGCGUGCGCAGGCGGUUUUGUAAGUCUGUCGUGAAAGCCCCGGGCUCCAACCUGGGAAUUGCGAUGGAGACUGCAAGGCUUGAAUCUGGCAGAGGGGGGGUAGAAUUCCACGUGUAGCAGUGAAAUGCGUAGAGAUGUGGAGGAACACCGAUGGCGAAGGCAGCCCCCUGGGUCAAGAUUGACGCUCAUGCACGAAAGCGUGGGGAGCAAACAGG
rnacentral:rRNA from 1 species